rfam:Shewanella baltica OS185, complete genome.
UUAUCCGCGAGGAUUGGUUUGAAGGAAGCCGCUAGCAAAUUUGCGAGCUGAUGAACAAGAACAUCAUAUGAGGCGUAGGCUAGAGGUGAGUUGGCAGGGCCUCCCCCACGAAGUAAGGGGACAAGACGACGAAACCACGUGAUCUAAUGGCCACCGUAAAUGAUGUAGCAGUGCAAAGAAAGUUCAUGUU